rnacentral:rRNA from 1 species
UACAGAGGGGGCAAGCGUUGUUCGGAAUUACUGGGCGUAAAGGGCGCGUAGGCGGCCUGUUAAGUCGAACGUGAAAUCCCCGGGCUCAACCCGGGAACUGCGUCCGAUACUGGCAGGCUUGAAUUCGGGAGAGGGAUGUGGAAUUCCAGGUGUAGCGGUGAAAUGCGUAGAUAUUCGCAAGAACACCAGUGGCGAAGGCGGCUCACUGGCCCGGUACUGACGCUGAGGUGCGAAAGCGUGGGGAUCAAACAGG